rnacentral:rRNA from 1 species
UACGUAGGGACCAAGCGUUGUUCGGAUUUACUGGGCGUAAAGGGCGCGUAGGCGGCGUGGUAAGUCACUUGUGAAAUCUCCGAGCUUAACUCGGAACUGCCAAGUGAUACUGCUGUGCUAGAGUGCAGAAGGGGCAACCGGAAUUCUUGGUGUAGCGGUGAAAUGCGUAGAUAUCAAGAGGAACACCUGAGGUGAAGACGGGUUGCUGGGCUGACACUGACGCUGAGGCGCGAAAGCGUGGGGAGCAAACGGG